GACAGAGGUUGCAAGCGUUGUUCGGAAUUACUGGGCAUAAAGCGCACGUAGGCGGUCCGCUAAGUCAUGUGUGAAAUCCCCCGGCUCAACCGGGGAAUGGCGCCUGAUACUGGCGGACUCGAGAUCGGUAGGGGUGAGUGGAACUCCAGGUGGAGCGGUGAAAUGCGCAGAUAUCAGGAAGAACACCAGUGGCGAAGGCGGCUCACUGGCCCGAUACUGACGCUGAGGCACGAAAGCGUGGGGAGCAAACAGG
rnacentral:rRNA from 1 species